UACGUAGGGUGCAAGCGUUAAUCGGAAUUACUGGGCGUAAAGCGUGCGCAGGCGGUUUUGUAAGACUGUCGUGAAAUCCCCGGGCUCAACCUGGGAAUGGCGAUGGUGACUGCAAGGCUAGAGUUUGGCAGAGGGGGGUAGAAUUCCACGUGUAGCAGUGAAAUGCGUAGAUAUGUGGAGGAACACCGAUGGGCGAAGGCAGCCCCCCUGGGUCAAAAACUGACGCUCAUGCACGAAAGCGUGGGGAGCAAACAGG
rnacentral:rRNA from 1 species